CGGGAUAACAACCUGGAAACAGAUGCUAAUACCGGAUAACAACAGAUGAUGCCUAUCAACUGUUUAAAAGAUGGUUCUGCUAUCACUCUUGGAUGGACCUGCGGUGCAUUAGCUAGUUGGUAGGGUAACGGCCUACCAAGGCGAUGAUGCAUAGCCGAGUUGAGAGACUGAUCGGCCACAUUGGGACUGAGACACGGCCCAAACUCCUACGGGAGGCAGCAGC
rnacentral:rRNA from 1 species